rfam:Arabidopsis thaliana chromosome 2, complete sequence.
AUGAAUGAAGAAAACAAUGAUUAGAUAGAAGUUCCGGUGAUGUUGUAACGCUCAGGCGUUAAACACAGACUGGGAAGACGAGUUAACGAAGCAAGGGACGUUUCGUAUUUCCGUUGAUGAUGCUGACAU